rnacentral:rRNA from 1 species
AUUGAACGCUGGCGGCAGGCCUAACACAUGCAAGUCGAACGGUAGCACAGAGAGCUUGCUCUCGGGUGACGAGUGGCGGACGGGUGAGUAACGUCUGGGAAACUGCCCGAUGGAGGGGGAUAACUACUGGAAACGGUGGCUAAUACCGCAUAACGUCGCAAGACCAAAGUGGGGGACCUUCGGGCAUCACACCAUCGGAUGUGCCCAGAUGGGAUUAGCUAGUAGGUGGGGUAAUGGCUCACCUAGGCGACGAUCCCUAGCUGGUCUGAGAGGAUGACCAGCCACACUGGAACUGAGACACGGUCCAGACUCCUACGGGAGGCAGCAGUGGGGAAUAUUGCACAAUGGGCGCAAGCCUGAUGCAGCCAUGCCGCGUGUAUGAAGAAGGCCUUCGGGUUGUAAAGUACUUUCAGCGGGGAGGAAGGCGGUGAAGUUAAUAGCUUCACCGAUUGACGUUACCCGCAGAAGAAGCACCGGCUAACUCCGUGCCAGCCGCCGCAGUAA